AUUGAACGCUGGCGGCAUGCCUUACACAUGCAAGUCGAACGGUAACAGGUUAAGCUGACGAGUGGCGAACGGGUGAGUAAUAUAUCGGAACGUGCCCAGUCGUGGGGGAUAACGUAGCGAAAGCUACGCUAAUACCGCAUACGAUCUACGGCUGAAAGCGGGGGAUCGCAAGACCUCGCGCGAUUGGAGCGGCCGAUAUCAGUUUAGGUUGUUGGUGAGGUAAAGGCUCACCAAGCCUGCGAUCUGGAGCUGGUCUGAGAGGACGACCAGCCACACUGGAACUGAGACACAGUCCAGACUCCUACGGGAGGCAGCAGUGGGAAAUUUUGGACAAUGGACGCAAGUCUGAUCCAGCAAUGCCGCGUGCAGGACGAAGGCCUUCGGGUUGUAAACUGCUUUUGUACGGAACGAAACGGCGAGCUCUAAUACAGUUUGCUAAUGACGGUACCGUAAGAAGAAGCACCGGCUAACUACGUGCCAGCCGCCGCCGUAA
rnacentral:rRNA from 1 species